AUUGAACGCUGGCGGCAUGCCUUACACAUGCAAGUCGAACGGUAACAGGUCUUCGGAUGCUGACGAGUGGCGAACGGGUGAGUAAUACAUCGGAACGUGCCUAGUAGUGGGGGAUAACUACUCGAAAGAGUGGCUAAUACCGCAUGAGAUCUACGGAUGAAAGCAGGGGGUCGCAAGACCUUGUGCUACUAGAGCGGCCGAUGACAGAUUAGGUAGUUGGUGGGAUAAAGGCUUACCAAGCCGACGAUCUGUAGCUGGUCUGAGAGGACGAUCAGCCACACUGGGACUGAGACACGGCCCAGACUCCUACGGGAGGCAGCAGUGGGGAAUUUUGGACAAUGGGCGCAAGCCUGAUCCAGCAAUGCCACGUGCAGGAUGAAGGCCUUCGGGUUGUAAACUGCUUUUGUACGGAACGAAAAGCCCUGGGUUAAUACCCUGGGGUCAUGACGGUACCGUAAGAAUAAGCACCGGCUAACUACGUGCCAGCAGCCGCAGUAACAC
rnacentral:rRNA from 1 species